AUGGAAGGGCAAGUGGAAUUCACCCUUCCAUCACCCUGUCAACAGACACUCACAGGAACACUACUGGUGAGGUGGACAGGUCAGAGUUCACCAGCUGAGGUCAAAAUCCAAUGUCAGUACAGUGCUACAGGUUCACAGUUUAGAUCCAUAUACAGUGAGUCUUCAACAGUCACAAUUACGGACCUUCCUCAGCUGACAGUGAAUUCUACAGUCAUCAGAGAGACAGAAUCAGUUCAGCUGAGUUGUGAGACUCCUCCAUCUCUCCCUGUGUCUCACUGUUACUUCAACAUAGAGGGGGGAGAGAAUCCUCCAGACUCAUCCUGUACUCAGACAAUAACAGGAACAGAGCUGCUCAAGAGGGCAGAUCAAACGUUUCCAGAUGUGGUCAAAGUGACGUGUUACUAUGCUGUAAUGAGGUCUCACACAUCUCCUUUUAGUGACCCUGUCUCAGUCACUGUUCUGGAUCUGGUGGGAGUUCACAUCAGCGAUCCAACACCUAUACAGACACCUUCUAUAGCAGUGGGUUUGACUCCAGGUCCUGGGUCUACUUUGCCGCCCAGCACGACAGUGAGUCCUACAGAAGUUUCCACUGUUACUUGUACCUUUACCCCAGACACCACAGUGACACCAGCUACCAGGUCGACUGUUUGCUCUACUUUGACCACUGACACCCCAGCAAGUCCAACUGAAAGAGGUCAAAGCUCCACAGAAAGCGUUCUGGGUAAGCAUCCAUCUCUACCUGACUACCUGUCUUUUCUCAGACAAAUUUACAAGUUUACAAUAAAACAUAUUCUAUAUUAUUCUCAGAAAAUAAAAUGUUGUCCCCCAACUCCCUUACCAUGUAGGUCCAUUGCUUGUUCAAGAGGUGCUGAUAUCUGAUCGUUUUGGUUAAUACAUCCCAUACCUCAAUUGUAUUUACCCGAGCUUUGUUUAUCAUGGCCGCUGAUCGCUCUAUACGAACAAUAUCUUGAAAAUAUGAUAACCAUGUUUGAGGCAAGAGGAUUGUAGGGGUAAUCCACUAAGGAUAACCUUUUUUGCUGCUGUUAACUCACAGUUCAGGUUGUGCCCCAAUCUCUGCAUUUCACAGUUCCAUACUAGAGUGAAACCCAAUGUAGAGCAUUUAACAGACAGCAGGCAAUCAUAAGUGGCAGAGACCAUUCUAGAAGUUAAUGAAGGGAAUAACCAUGUAAGCAUUAUUUGGGAUGUUAACGGGGCAUCCCAUGGUACACCAUAAACUUUUAAGGUUCUGGGUUUUAACAAUAAUAUGCCAAAUUAUGAAAUUGUGAAUCUUUCUACUGACUGAGUUGUGUUGUACUCUAACAGAAAUAACAAAUACCUUUCUAUUUGUGUAAUCAGGGUUCCUAACCAAUUGUGCUAUUCUGGGUGUUUUUUGUGACCUGUUUUUUACGUAAUGUUUCUGCCACUGUCUCUUAUGACCGAAAUGAGCUUCUGGACAUCAGAUUUUUUUUUUAUGAAUUGAAGGAGAAAGAUUUACGUCAUUUCACGGACCAUGCCCAAAGCCCCGUCAUUCGCAUGAAGAGGAGACGACCGAUACAGGGGCCGCAGAUCCUGAUGCUUGGUGAGAAUUCGUCUGCAAGUGGAUAAUCCUGCUUUACCAUCCUUAUCUUAUGCUUCACCGAGUCAUGGCUGAACGAGGACAUGGAUCAUAUACAGUUGGCUGGGUUUUCCGUGAAUCGGCAAGACAGAACAAUAAACCUCCAGUAAGAUGGUGGUCGGUGUCUAUUUGUCAAUAACAACUGGUGCGCAAUCUCUAAUAUUAAGGAAGUCUAGAGGUUUUGCUCGCCUGAUGUAGAUUAUCUCAUGACAAGCUGUAGACCACACUAUUUACCAAGAGAGAUCAUCUAUAUUUUUCGUAGCUGUCUAUUUACCACCACAAACCGAUGCAGGCAUUAAGACAGCACUCAACGAGCUGUAUAAGGCCAUAAGCAAACAAGAGAAUGCUAAUCAAGAAGUGGCGCUCCUAGUGGCUGGGGACUUUUCCCAUUUCUACCAGCAUGUCAAAUGUGCAACCAGAGGAAAAAAAUCUCUAGACCACCUUUAUU
rnacentral:lncRNA from 1 species